CUACGGAGGGUGCAAGCGUUACUCGGAAUCACUGGGCGUAAAGCGCGCGCAGGCGGUCUUUUAAGUUGGAUGUGAAAGCCUACGGCUCAACCGUAGAACUGCAUCCAAAACUAUUAGACUAGAGUGUGGGAGAGGAAGAUGGAAUUAGCUGUGUAGGGGUAAAAUCCGUAGAGAUAACUAGGAAUACCAAAAGCGAAGGCAAUCUUCUGGAACACUACUGACGCUGAGGCGCGAAAGCGUGGGGAGCAAACAGGAUUAGAAACCCUAGUAGUCC
rnacentral:rRNA from 1 species